GAAGUAUCAAGAGUUGUUCACGUGUGAAGUGACAGAUGGUUACACUGGAAAAGUACAGCUGUUUCCCUUCAUCCCUCAGUCCUCAGGGGAGGAUGCAACAACAUUAACCACGAUGAGAACAAUUGAAAACGGCAGAAAAUCCAGAAUCACCUCAACAACGCCUGCUGUUAGUGUUACUUCAACAUCACCACAAGGCUGGUGGAGGAUCAUCAUGGUGUCUGUGGGUUUAGCAGCACUCGUAAUAACUGUUGUGGCGGUCAACAUAUGGAUGAGAGCUAAAGGGAACAAAAGCCAGAUGGAUGGCAAUGCUGUGAGUUUUCAAACUGAAUAAUCAAACGCUUGUGUUCAGGCUGUUCUCACAAACCAUUCGUGCAUAUAGCUACAAAAAGUAAUGCACAUAUUUCUAGCUGUAAGCCCCACAUUGACUUCAGCUGUAUGAGACUGCUCCGGUCCGCGUGGGGAGGAGAGGGAGGAGAUCAGGGUGGAGGGCUGGGUCCUAAAACACAAAGUGGGGGAGUGGAGUUUAAGUUAAAGGAAAGCACAAGACUUUCACCCAGGAAACAGUUGUUUGUGUCCGAGAGU